CCUCAUGUCUUUAGCCUGAAUCUGUUUUUGGUUUGAAACCAAGAACGUGAACAGGACUAUUUCGUCCAAACAAUUCCACUCUUUAGCCAAAAAAAUUCGAUAGAAAUUUCAAAAAAAAAGGCCACCACAAUUUGGUUCAAAAUUUCAAAGGGAUUCAGGCAGAAUGUCGUUCAACACAUUUCAUGGAAGCAGAAGCUUCAUUCCGUUCAAAUAAUUCUAGGAACAGGUAUGUUAAGUUUCUCCCUUCUUUCUUUUGGCAUGGUCCAAAUUACACUGAAGAAACGAGCAAACACACAGUUUCCAUAAAUUACUCCAUUCAUAGAAUUAUUAGGGGUGUCUAUAAUCUUGAUUCCCCAUAAAAAUUAUUAUUAUUUUAUGUUCAUAGGUCUCAGAAUAAUACGCAGUUGAAAAAGUUUAUCCGGAAGGAAUAUUGAGAUUAUUACGUAUUUUUCAUGCAUUUUACUUAUGUACAUUGACCCAUGAUCAUAUGGCGUUAUAUAUGCAUAUAUAUGUAUAUUUUAUUUAUAUGGGAUACAGGAAGAAGGUUACGGGGUUAUAUAUGUACCACAACCAGAUCAACUGGUAUAUGAUGAUGAUGUUGCCCAUAGUGGCUGAAAUAUGACUCAAACGGCAUUAUAUACGCGUAUAUAUGUAAAUAUAUGUAUAUGGGGUAUAGAAAAAGGUUACAGCAUUAUAUACACACCACCACCUGAUAAGCUGGUAUAUGUUGGUGAUGUGUCCACAGUGUCCAAGACGAUAUGAUGGGAUGCCCUCAGUGGCUUAUGUACACCCAUACCUAUGCAUGACAUGACAUUUAUAUGCAUGUGCAUAAUGUUAUAAACAUUUUAGAAUUUACAAAGUUGUUUAGAUUUAAAGACAUGUUUCUAUAUUCCAUGUUUCAUCUAUGUCUGUUACGCACUAAUUUUCAUUCCUUACAUACUCAGUACAUUUUUUGUAUUGACGCCCUAUUUCACGGGGCCUACGUUUCAUGCCUGCAGGUGCAGGUAGGCAACCAGACGGUCCCCCUUCUUAGGACCCCUGACCUGCGAGAGUUGGCGUGCUCCAUUUGAUCCGGAGUUGCUUUUGAUUUUGGGUACGAUACGUUUAUAUAUAUAUAUAUGGGUAUGAUGUGGCUCAGUCCUGUCUUUGUACAAUUAUGUUCCUAUUAGAGGUCUGUGGACAGUAUGUCUAGCUAGGUUGUAUGUGACAUUGUCGG
rnacentral:lncRNA from 1 species